GUGAGGAGGCUUGGCUAGCUCAGCCCACUGCCUGCUGCCGGGGCUCCAGGCAGCUCUUUUACUUCGCAGGUGGUGAAGGGCUCAGAGAGUGGCAGGCAGGAGAAAGAGGUGGUCUCCUGGAUCUCUGCAGCCUGUGGCUAUGUACUGACCUGCCACCCCAAGCAGGGGAUACUGGGCUACCUACAGCACUUUGAUGGAGGAGCAGGAAGGACUACCCAAGCUGGCAACUCUGAUUGCUCUUCUGCUCCUGACAAGAGGAUGAUCGUGUUGCUGUCUGUGAAGCUGCUGACCUCCUACUUACUCCCAGUGCCGGGGGAAUUGACCUGUUGCAUUUUCAGGAAGGUGAGAGAGCCCUGUGAAGGCAGGAGGGCUCAGGCAGGCACCCCAACUUCAGCAGCCCCUGACCGCGCGUGUUCCUUGGCUGCAUGGAGGCACACGCUGUCUGAGGAGCCCAGGUGGUGCUGGCCGUGAAUGGGCAACAGGAACAACACGAAGAGUCCAAUGCUGCCUUUAAUCCCGAAACCCAGGGCUGCAGGCCAAGCUACCCCAAUGACACAGGAGUAACUGGAAGGUCAAGGUUGUGGAGAACUAGCAACAGCAGAAGUGUGAAGUUCAUAACCAUGUCAGGCCAGCCAGGGUGCACUUGCCUUCUGCUUUAAGCAUGCACAACCCAUUCCAGUAAGCGGGACAGCUUUCCAACGUGUGGUUUAAACAAAUGCAAGUCAGAAUUCUCCCAGAUUCACCUGACUCACAGUUGAUGCGCCAGCUUGGGGAAGAGAGGGAACAUGGCUCUUCCUACCUGUGAACAUGUCCCUGCCUGGAAAGUCCAUCUGCAAACACAUAAGAGGCAUGCUGGUGAGUCAGACCUACUAAGGAAAAUGCUAAAGCAGAUAUUUCACUUGGAGCACACAAAUAGUCCUGAACCAACAUUUGACGGCUGUGACUUUUUAGAUCCAAGAAUUUGCUGGAAAACUCCAAUGAGGCCUGAGGACUCUCUUUCUGGCACACUGACUUUUUUGGGCAACAGGAGAAUGAACUGAUAACCAAGUGCUACCACCACCUCUGAAACCACAAGCUUUUCUCCAGAAUACUUGGUUUUACAUCAGGAUUAGUCUAGAAACUGGCUUGCACUGAACAGCUCAUAUUCCACAGGAUCAGCACCCUCACUGCCCUGACUGAUGUGCACAGUGUUAUCAGUGUGGCAGAGGAGCCAAGCCCCCAAGGAUCUUCAUCUGCACAGACACACAGAGCAGACUGGGGGUCCCUGCCACUGCAGAGGCCUGGGUCCUGCUGGAACACCACAGGACAGCAGUGGGCUUGCUGGAGCAGAGGCAGCUCUGAAGCUUGGAGGAAGGAAGCUGAGACUGACCUGCAGAGGACGUGCAGCAGUGAGAAGGGCUGAGCUGCACCAACCAGCCCCAGCAGGGAGACGUGCAGCAAAGGCUUCCUGGCUGUAUCCCACCUGCCACUGCUGCAGCAGGAGUAGAAAUACUGCAUGAAGACCACCAGGUCUGGUUUGGACUCUGCCAGCAGGUGCAGAUCAACCUGCUCAGCUGAGAUGGAUUUGCAAGGGACAGGGACUUCCCUGCACCACUCCUCCAGGAAUGAACUUAGCCCAGACAUCAGUGUGAACUGACAUCCCUGCUGCUGAACUGAACCAUUUUUAGCAAGGAGGUGUUGAGUAGGGAAGGAUGAAGCCAUUUCCAUGUUGUGGUGCCACAUUUACCCAGGCUCGGGGUCAGUGUGAAAUGGAGCUGAUGGAUGGCAUGGGUUCACAUAAAAGUAGGUCUUGGCAAAAAACUUGGGUGAGAACUUCCUUGGGGAAAAAAGAGACUAUACUCUUCUGGGUAUUGCCAAGGUUCUUGAGGAGGGAAAAAAUUAGAGAAGUCAAUGUCACUUCAGUGCUUUCAAAUAGAAUUGCUUUUUAUGUAUUGCUGGAAAUUUCACGUUUUAAAAAGUUACGUUUUUGUUUGUUUGUUUGUUUUGGUUUUUUUUAAAUACCAUGUUCAAAGAAAAAUAUUUACUUCAAGUAAAAUAGUGAAGAUUUUCUGUCAGUGAAAACCUUCUCUUCCUGUACAGCUUUACAAUACCCAAAUAUAUUACUGGUCAACGAAAACUGAGACAGAAUUUCCCCAAAAUACUGUUGAAGUUUUUUUCUGCUUUAGACAAGGUCGGCGCUCAACUUUGGUUUUGAUAGGAGAGUCAGCUCUGACCUGCUGCCGCCAAAAACAAAAAAGUACUCUGAACAGAGAGAAAGCUGGGGCUGCCCAGGACGCCUGGCCUGAGGGGCUGGCCCGGGGUGAGCUGAUGGAGCCUGCAGAGCCCGUGGCCGGCCCUGCCCGUGCGGCUGAGCAGCGUUUGCCGGCACGUUUGUCACCCGCACGGAGCCGCCGAGCCCCGCUCGCUGCGCCGCCUCGAAACCCCGCGAACGGCGGCGCCUCCAGACAGAGUCGUUCAUUAUUAAUUAGGUCACGAGAAAAAAAUCCUACGGGUGCAUUCGUGACACUAAAGGAGCCGAUCGCAAAAUAAUGCGACUGUAAUGAAUUCCAAAGGAAUAAAUAAUGGCUGAGCCAUUAGCAUAAAGUGCCAGUCGCAGCUCUGCGCUGCCCGCCUGCCCGCCUGGCACCGCUUCCAAACCGGCCCAGGCGCGGGGGUUCCUGCCACAGGCUGCCGGGAGCUCUGCCACCCCCUGGCAUUUGGCAACUCCCACUGGGGCUUGCCGUGGCAUCGCCCCCAGGACGGCCACCCGAGUCCCUUUGCAGGCAAGAAAUAAGAUAAUGUGGAAGAAUGAAAGAAGAUAUUUUUGCACCUCUUGCUCUAAUAUAUAAUCAGAGCUUUUGUUCCAUGUCUUGCACAAGCAAAUUAAUUAGAAAUUUAUCUGACCAGGAGUUCAGAGCAAUGUACAUUUAAAGCAGAGGACAUCCCUGUGCAUUUGUUUGCUCUCCGUUAUGGAACAAUUAUCUGCCCAUUUAGGAAACUCAGCGUUUGUUUCUAUUUUCAUAGAAGCUCCUAAGCAUACAAAAAUAUCAGACCACUUCUGGCUGUAGCAUGCUUAAAAACCUCCAAGAGGAAAACACCACUUGCACUCUCCCUUCUCCCACCCAGAGCAUAGCCCCAGGUGUUUCCAGGAGGCCACUGGGCAGGCAGCAGCUCCAGCCUGCAGUGCAGCACAGCUGCACAGUGCUGGCGGUGACAGCACAGCCACCUGGGCAACAAGAGAGCUCAGAGAGAAGGAAAAUAAGACAGGAUGAGACUGGAGGGAGAGGGAAGUGGGGAAGCAAAGGGUGCAGGGUGGGGUUCUGGGAAAGUGCUGUUUCCCCCAAGCUGUGUGGCUGCGAUGUGACAAAGUGACAUGGUAAACACUGCACCAGUGGCUCUGGGGACUUUGGCCCAGGACAGACCCUUCCAUCAGCCUCACCAGGCACCCUGGCAUAUUAAAUAAGCAGAACAGGUAGCAGGGUGGCGGUGGGACCUGUUUUGUCAGCGUCCCUUCCCUCCCAGCAUCCAAGCAGACAGGCGCGUCAGGUGCUUAUGCCCCUCUCAUGUCUGCUGUUAAAAAACCCAGCCAGGGAAUGUCAUUAGAAACAGCCACACCAUCUGCCUUUUCCUCCCCUCCCCUUUAAAUAAGGAAACACCUUGUCAAACA